rnacentral:rRNA from 1 species
UAGCAAUAUUCCGUAGUUGGAGCGGCGCAAGGGUGCGUAACACGUGGGUAAUCUGCCAUGAAGUUUGGGAUAACUCGCUGAAAGGCGAGCUAAUACCGGAUGUGACGAUUGGAAGGCAUCUUCUGAUCUUCAAAGUUGGGGACCGUAAGGCCUGACGCUUCAUGAUGAGCCCGCGGCCUAUCAGCUAGUUGGUGAGGUAACGGCUCACCAAGGCUAAGACGGGUAGCUGGUCUGAGAGGACGACCAGCCACACUGGAACUGAGACACGGUCCAGACACCUACGGGUGGCAGCAGUCGAGAAUUUUUCACAAUGGGGGAAACCCUGAUGGAGCGACGCCGCGUGGGGGAUGAAUGGCUUCGGCCCGUAAACCCCUGUCAUUCGCGAACAAUGCCUGUGUAUUAACACCAUACAGGUUGAUAGUAGCGGAAGAGGAAGGGACGGCUAACUCUGUGCCAGCAGCCGCGGUAAUACAGAGGUCCCAAGCGUUGUUCGGAUUCACUGGGCGUAAAGGGUGCGUAGGCGGUCGGGUAAGUCUGAUGUGAAAUCUCACAGCUUAACUGUGAAACUGCAUUGGAUACUAUUCGGCUUGAGGUCUGGAGGGGGGACUGGAAUUCUCGGUGUAGCA